rnacentral:rRNA from 1 species
CAAUAGCGUAUAUCAACAUUGCUGCAGUUAAAAAGCUCGUAGUCGAAUUUCUGGUUUCCUGGGUCGCCCGGGUCUGUUAGGACUCGCGGUGGGCUUGGGGGGCCUUCUUUCUGGGGAACGUGGCUGCUCUUUGCUGGGUGGUUUCGAGAUCCAGGUCCUUUACUGUGAGUAAAUGAGAGUGUUCAAAGCAGGCUUUUGCCUGAAUCGUUUAGCAUGGAAUAAUAAAAUAGAACUUUGGCUCUAUUUUGUUGGCUUUUAGAAUCAAAGUAAUGGUCGAUAGGGAUAGUUGGGGGUGCUCAUAUUCAGGGGGUAGCGGUGAAAUGCAAUGAUCCUCUGAAGAUGAACUAAUGCGAAAGCAUUCACCAAGGAUAUCUUCUUUGA